GUGGGGAAUAUUGGACAAUGGGCGAAAGCCUGAUCCAGCCAUGCCGCGUGUGUGAAGAAGGUCUUCGGAUUGUAAAGCACUUUAAGUUGGGAGGAAGGGCAGUAAGUUAAUACCUUGCUGUUUUGACGUUACCAACAGAAUAAGCACCGGCUAACUUCGUGCCAGCAGCCGCGGUAAUACGAAGGGUGCAAGCGUUAAUCGGAAUUACUGGGCGUAAAGCGCGCGUAGGGGGUUCAGCAAGUUGGAGGUGAAAGCCCCGGGCUCAACCUGGGAACUGCCUCCAAAACUACUGAGCUAGAGUACGGUAGAGGGUAGUGGAAUUUCCUGUGUAGCGGUGAAAUGCGUAGAUAUAGGGAGGAACACCAGUGGCGAAGGCGACUACCUGGACUGAUACUGACACUGAGGUGCGAAAGCGUGGGGAGCAAACAGGAUUAGAAACCCGGGUAGUCC
rnacentral:rRNA from 1 species